AAGCAUAUCAAUAAGCGGAGGAAAAGAAACUAACAAGGAUUCCCCUAGUAACUGCGAGUGAAGCGGGAAAAGCUCAAAUUUAAAAUCUGGCGGUCUUUGGCCGUCCGAGUUGUAGUCUGGAGAAGUGCUUUCCGCGCUGGACCGUGUACAAGUCUCUUGGAACAGAGCGUCAUAGAGGGUGAGAAUCCCGUCUUUGACACGGACUACCAGUGCUUUGUGAUGCGCUCUCAAAGAGUCGAGUUGUUUGGGAAUGCAGCUCAAAAUGGGUGGUAAAUUCCAUCUAAAGCUAAAUAUUGGCGAGAGACCGAUAGCGAACAAGUACCGUGAGGGAAAGAUGAAAAGCACUUUGGAAAGAGAGUUAAACAGUACGUGAAAUUGCUGAAAGGGAAACGCUUGAAGUCAGUCGCGUUGGCCAGGACUCAGCCUUGCUUUAGCUUGGUGCAYUUUCUGGUUGRCGGGCCAGCAUCGAUUUCGGUCGUCGGAUAAAGGUUGGGGGAAUGUGGCAUCUUCGGAUGUGUUAUAGCCCUCAGUCACAUACGACGGCUGGGAUCGAGGACCGCAGCACGCCUUUAUGGCCGGGGUUCGCCCACGUUCGUGCUUAGGAUGCUGGCAUAAUGGCUUUAAACGACCCGUCUUGAAACACGGACCAAGGAGUCUAACAUGCCUGCGAGUGUUUGGGUGGAAAACCCGAGCGCGUAAUGAAAGUGAAAGUUGAGAUCCCUGUCGUGGGGAGCAUCGACGCCCGGACCUGACCUUCUGUGAUGGAUCUGCGGUAGAGCAUGUAUGUUGGGACCCGAAAGAUGGUGAACUAUGCCUGAAUAGGGUGAAGCCAGAGGAAACUCUGGUGGAGGCUCGUAGCGAUUCUGACGUGCAAAUCGAUCGUCAAAUUUGGGUAUAGGGGCGAAAGACUAAUCGAACCAUCUAGUAGCUGGUUCCUGCCG
rnacentral:rRNA from 1 species